rnacentral:rRNA from 1 species
GCAGUCGAGGGGCAGCAUAAGAUCAGCUUGCUGAUUUGGUGGCGACCGGCGCACGGGUGCGUAACGCGUAUGCAAUCUACCUUGUACAGAGGGAUAGCCCAGAGAAAUUUGGAUUAAUACCUCAUAGCAUCCUGAAGAGGCAUCUUUUUGGGAUUAAAGUUUCGGCGGUACAAGAUGAGCAUGCGUCCUAUUAGCUAGAUGGUAAGGUAACGGCUUACCAUGGCUACGAUAGGUAGGGGUUCUGAGAGGAUGAUCCCCCACACUGGUACUGAGACACGGACCAGACUCCUACGGGAGGCAGCAGUGAGGAAUAUUGGUCAAUGGACGCAAGUCUGAACCAGCCAUGCCGCGUGCAGGAAGACGGCCCUCUGGGUUGUAAACUGCUUUUAUUUGGGAAGAAACCCCCUGUCGUGCACAGGGGCUGACAGUACCAAAGGAAUAAGCACCGGCUAACUCCGUGCCAGCAGCCGCGGUAAUACGGAGGGUGCAAGCGUUAUCCGGAAUCAUUGGGUUUAAAGGGUCCGCAGGCGGGCUAGUAAGUCAGUGGUGAAAUCCCUCAGCUUAACUGAGGAACUGCCAUUGAUACUGCUAGUCUUGAAUUCGGUCGAAGUGGGCGGAAUGUGUCAUGUAGCGGUGAAAUGCAUAGAUAUGACACAGAACACCGAUAGCGAAGGCAGCUCACUGGGCCUGAAUUGACGCUCAGGGACGAAAGCGUGGGGAGUAGACAGGAUUAGAUAUCCUGGUAGUCCACGCCGUAAACGAUGAUUACUCGAUAUUGGCGAUAUACGGUCAGUGUCUAAGCGAAAGUGAUAAGUAAU